rnacentral:rRNA from 1 species
AUAUCAAUAAGCGGAGGAAAAGAAACUAACAAGGAUUCCCCUAGUAACGGCGAGUGAAGCGGGAAGAGCUCAAAUUUGAAAUCUGGCGUGCUCAGUGCGUCCGAGUUGUAAUCUAUAGAGGCGUUUUCCGCGCCGGUCCGCGUCCAAGUCCCUUGGAACAGGGUAUCAAAGAGGGUGACAAUCCCGUGCUUGACGCGACCGCCGGUGCUAUGUGAUACGUCUUCUACGAGUCGAGUUGUUUGGGAAUGCAGCUCAAAAUGGGUGGUAAAUUCCAUCUAAAGCUAAAUAUUGGCGAGAGACCGAUAGCGAACAAGUACCGUGAGGGAAAGAUGAAAAGCACUUUGGAAAGAGAGUUAAACAGCAC